rnacentral:rRNA from 1 species
GAUGAACGCUAGCGGCAGGCUUAACACAUGCAAGUCGAGGGGCAGCGAGGGUAGCAAUACCUGUCGGCGACCGGCGCAAGGGUGCGCAACGCGUGAGCAACAUGCCCGUAUCAGGGGGAUAAUCCAGGGAAACUUGGUCUAAUACCCCAUAGAAAUCAUUUAAGGCAUCUUUUAUGAUUUAAAGCUUAGGUGGAUACGGAUUGGCUCGCGUGACAUUAGUUAGAUGGUAGGGUAACGGCUUACCAUGACUAUGAUGUCUAGGGGUUCUGAGAGGAAGGUCCACCACACUGGAGCUGAGACACGGUCCAGACUCCUACGGGAGGCAGCAGUGAGGAAUAUUGGACAAUGGAUGGAAAUCUGAUCCAGCCAUGCCGCGUGCAGGAAGAAUGUCCUAUGGAUUGUAAACUGCUUUUGUAUGGGAGCAAUAAGGUCUUCGUGAAGGCCGAUGAGAGUACCAUACGAAUAAGCACCGGCUAACUCCGUGCCAGCAGCCGCGGUAACAC